UGGGGAAUAUUGGACAAUGGGCGGAAGCCUGAUCCAGCCAUGCCGCAUGUGUGAAGAAGGCCUUUUGGUUGUAAAGCACUUUAAGCGAGGAGGAGGCUACUUGGAUUAAUACUCUAGGAUAGUGGACGUUACUCGCAGAAUAAGCACCGGCUAACUCUGUGCCAGCAGCCGCGGUAAUACAGAGGGUGCGAGCGUUAAUCGGAUUUACUGGGCGUAAAGCGUGCGUAGGCGGCUUCUUAAGUCGGAUGUGAAAUCCCUGAGCUUAACUUAGGAAUUGCAUUCGAUACUGGGAAGCUAGAGUAUGGGAGAGGAUGGUAGAAUUCCAGGUGUAGCGGUGAAAUGCGUAGAGAUCUGGAGGAAUACCGAUGGCGAAGGCAGCCAUCUGGCCUAAUACUGACGCUGAGGUACGAAAGCAUGGGGAGCAAACAGG
rnacentral:rRNA from 1 species